UGAGGAAUAUUGGUCAAUGGUCGAGAGACUGAACCAGCCAAGUCGCGUGAGGGAUGACUGCCCUAUGGGUUGUAAACCUCUUUUGUUUGGGAAGAAUAAGCUUUACGUGUAGAGCGAUGCCGGUACCAAACGAAUAAGCAUCGGCUAACUCCGUGCCAGCAGCCGCGGUAAUACGGGGGAUGCGAGCGUUAUCCGGAUUUAUUGGGUUUAAAGGGUGCGUAGGCGGUAGAUUAAGUUAGUGGUCAAAUCAAGGGGCUCAACCCCUUUCAGCCAUUAAUACUGGUCAACUAGAGUGUGGACGAGGUAGGCGGAAUAAGUCAAGUAGCGGUGAAAUGCUUAGAUAUGACUUAGAACUCCGAUAGCGAAGGCAGCUUACCAGGCCAUAACUGACGCUGAAGCACGAGAGCGUGGGUAGCGAACAGG
rnacentral:rRNA from 2 species